UGACUCUCUCUCUCUCUUUCUGAAGUUGUUAGGUUUUAAGUAGAACUCCAUGAUUAUCAGGCUACUUAUAAUUAAGGCAAAAGUGAUUAGCCAUUGUUAAGCAUGUAUAUAACUAUUACAGAACUUAAGCAGUGAGUAAACUUUCUAAUCAGCUCGAUCUAUUUUCUUCUUCUUUUUGUCAUUAUAGGCCUUCCCACUUAACUCCCCACUAGUCUCUCAUAUCUCAAGAGCAAUCUUGAAUGUCACUGAAGAUCAUGAUAAAACGGAAGCAAUUAAGAGUAAAAGCUUUGGUAGGGAAAUCACCUGUGAAGAUCGAGGAGCUGAAACCUCUUCAGGUGGUCUAAGGUUGUCUAGCUUCGCGGGCCUCUUCCUUAUCUCUGGAGUUGCUUCCAUAUCUUCGCUCCUGAUAUAUAUCAUUAGGUUCCUUUUCUCAAAUUAUCCUGCUUCGAACACAAUGCAUGAAGAACAAUCCAUGUGGCUGAGAAUUCUUGAGGUAGCAAAGCGUUUUGACCAGAAAGAUCCCUCCGUCCAUCAUCUUAGGCGAGCUGAAUCUAGAGUUCACCCUGUCACAGGUCCUGAAAGUAUUGGAGCCUCACCUGAGACUGGCAACGUGCAUGAAAUGACUUCCAAUGAAGGAGCCGAAGAUGUUGGAGAAAAUCAAAACCAUGACAAUCUUACCUCGGGGAAUAGUGGUACAAAUUUUAUUGCCUCCAAUGCAGAUACUGUUGCCCCUAACACUCCGGAAAUAAACCGAGCUUCACCUGAUACUGCCUAUGUGCAUGAAAUGACUUCCGAUGAAGGAGCCGAAGUUGUUGUUGGGGAUCAAAACCGCGGCAAUCGUACCUCAGUGAACAGUGGUACAAAUACUAACACAAUGUUGCCCACAAAAAUCAGCUGUACAUGAAUAAUGGUGAGCCACCAUCCAUUCACCAAUGCUGAUUGAAAGUUAACAUAUGAAGUCCUUGUGGUAAAAAUAUUAUUUUGAUAUAUUUUUAAGUAAAAUAUACUUUGAAAAGUAAUUGCUACCACUCUUACAAAUAUCCUAUAAGUAACACGAGCUUAUGAUCUUUUAUAUAUACUUGAAGCGCAAAGCACUUCAAAUGCUAGACUUCAAUCUUCGGUGAUCAUAAGUUGAUUGUCAUUUUGGGUUAAGGAUUGUGAUUUUACAAUCAACAACACAACAGUAAUAGACUAAUGGUAUGCUUUCUUUGUCAUCCUAGUUUGUAGAGAAAGUUGUGGAUGUCCAAGCUCCUUGCAAACAGAGAAAUCAUAAAAUGCAACUUUGGUUACCUGUUUAAUGGCAGAAUUUUGAAAUUGGAUUUGGGCACUUCGACGUAGGAGAGCUCUCCUGGUAGAUGCGCUGAAUAUCCUUCCUUGAAAAUUUAAGGCUAAGCCUGUAGAAUUAUCCUCUGAAGGUGCAUUUUCUGUAGCUGUGCCUAACUUAUCAGUGACAAGUUAUCCUGUUUUUUUAGUGUAGUGGUGGUUCAAUAAUCAUCAACUUUUCUAUAUCUAGAUGGAAUCCUAUCAGGGGCUCUACCUUUGUAGGUACAAACACGACAUUGUCCUGCACAUCAGGCUAUAGCCCUAUCACAAGCAUGUUAGAUGGAAGCAAAUAAUUUCAAGUAGAAUUUGACUGAGUUGCUGAGCAACUUGAUGAUUUAGAUGUCGUUGCAGGUCUUACAAUUGUUGGUGGGAGAAACCACUGGUGGUGGUUUUGAAACACUCAGAGGGGAUAAAAACACAUUGUUUUAUUUCAACAACAAGAAGCUUACAAAAUAAACAAAAGCUCUUAAUACACGCCCUCUGUUUUCUCUCUAGUGUUUCUCUUAUCUCUCCCACACACUGAUAAUAGCAUAAACUUAGUUGCCUAUUUAUACACAAAUUGAAAGUAAGAAAAAUUCUUAGUUGGCGGCUUGUAAAGGCUGCUGAUGGUUUGUGAAGGCGGUUGACAGCUGGCGGCUGGUGGCUGGCGGUUUGACAAGUCACUGGCGGUGACUGCAGGCGGUGGAUGCAAGUGGUGGUUGCUGUUUUUGACCUUCUAGAAUGAGUUUAAUGCAACAAAUCCCCCCUUUAAAGUCAAUCGAGGGAUGUCAUGCCAAACAUAAACUUCAAUUUGAUAAAUAUUUCUCCCUUCAAUGGCUUUGUAUCCUUGUACUUCUCCUUUUGCAUUCUUCUUCAUCUUAUAGACCCAUUUGACACCUAUUGCUUUCUUGUUUUCUGGUAUAUUAGUCAGCUUCUAGGUAUCAUUCUUCUCAAUGGCAUGUAUUUCUUCAUCCAUUGCAUCUAUCCACUUUUCUUCUGUGACAGCUUUAUUGAAGCUAAGUGGGUCAUUAUCUGCGAAGAAACAAAAUAGAGUUGUAUCUUCCAUGACUUGAGUGACAUCAUACAACUCUUCUAGAUUUCUCAUCCUUCUUGGUUCUUCUGAUGAGGAUGCUGAUGGUGGUGUUGAUGAUGAUUCUGGUGUGUUUCUCCUGUUGAAUACAGGGGAUCUGUGUACCGGACUUUGUGGCUCAUCUGCUGGUAAUAUUGGACCUUCUGCAAGUACUGUUGGUACUUCCACUUCGUCUUCAAUGAUCAAAUCAGUACUGAUCCAUUUGACUGCUUCUUGAUCAUCAUUCCAUUGCCAAGUUUUAUCUUCUUCAAAGAUAACAUCUCUACUCAUAAUUACCUUCUUUGUAAUGGGAUUAUACAGCUUGUAUCCCAUCCUUCUAUCACCAUAUCCGACAAAGAUGCAUUUCUCGCUUUUAUCAUCGAGUUUGGUCCUUCUUGCAUUUGGGAUCUUUGCAUAUGACACACAACCAAAGACUCGAAGAUGAGUAACACUUGAUUUGUGACCACUCCAUGCUUCUUCUGGAGUGACAACUUAUAAACUUCUAGUUGGGCAGCGAUUCAGUAGAUACACUGCACAUGAUACAACUUCAGCCUAGUAUUGUUUGGGCAGCUUCUUUGCUUUGAGUAGACUUUUUGCCAUGUCAAGAAUCGUUCGAUUCUUUCUCUCAGCUACACCAUUCAGCUGUGGUGUAUAAGCUGGUGUUGUUUGAUGUCUGAUGCCUUGUUGUGUACAAAAGGCUUCAAAAUAAUUUAAAGUGUAUUCUCCACGAUCAGAUCUCACAGUUCUGAUCUUAUAUCCACUUUGCUUCUCAACAAUUGCUUUAAAAGCUUUAAAACAAUUCAACACUUCUGACUUCCUCUUCAGAAAGUAUAUCCAUGUCUUUCUGCUAAAAUCAUCAAUGAAAGUAAGGAAGUAUCUAUUUUGUCCAGUUGACAUAGGCUUUAUGGGACCACACACAUCUGUGUGCACUAACUCCAGUGGCUGAUUUGCUUUCCAGUUGACUUCUUUGGCAAAACUGGAUAUGUGAUGUUUGCUGAGGACACAACUUUCAUAGACUUCAUCUGGAUGAUCAAUGUGGGGCAUACCUUUGACCAUCUUCUUGCUUGCUAGCAUCUUCAGACUUGUGAAAUUCAGAUGUCCAAGCCUUAGGUGCUAAAACCAGUCUUCAUUGUUGGUGAUGGCACUCAAACACUUUGCUGCAUCAUAUUGGAUGUUUAAAGGAAACAUCCUAUUCUUGGACAUCUUCACAUAGACAAUUAAUCUCCCAUUGUAGUCUGUAAUUGUCAGAUGACAAUUCUUCAAGAAAAGAGUAUAAUCUUUCUCCAUAAGUUGACCUACACUCAGCAAGUUGUGCUUUAUGGCUGGAACAUAGUAAACAUCUACGAUGUAGCUGUGAUCGCCAUUCUUCAACUUGAUUGGGAUGUUGCCUUUACCUUUAAAUGAAACUUUUGAGGUAUCUCCAAAGGUGACACCAAAUAGAUCCCGUUGGCCACACAUGUGAUUGCUGGCUCUAGAAUCUAAAUACCAAAUUUUCUCUUGAUUCUCGCCAAGUCCUUGUUGGAUAAAUAAUGCAGCUGAUUCUCCGAUGAUGGCGCAGCUGAUUCUCUAAUGAUGGCAUCCUUCUCUGCAUAGUUGGCUUGUUCACGUACCUCUAAUGGAGCUUUCCUUCGACAUUCAGUGCUAUAGUGCCCAAAUUGAUUGCAACUAUAACACUGGAUAUUCCUCUUGUCACUGUUAUUGUAACCGCCUCCUCUUCCUCUAGGAGUGAAUGUUUGUUGUCCUCGACCUCCUCUGGUGGUGUUUCUACCACCUCUUCCUCUAAAUCCUGUAUUCCAGUAUCCACUUUCUUGAAAUCGAUGAAAUCCUUCUUGUCUUUGUUGACCUCUUCCCCGAGUGGUAUAGCCACUUGUUGAAGUCUCCCCUUGCUCAUAUUUGUCUUUGAGAGACAACUUUGCUUGUAAGGCAUGCUCAAUUGCCUUAUCUCUAUUUUUUUCACAAUCUUUUGCUCACGAGCUUGCAAAGAACUUAUAAGCUCAUCCACCAUCAACUUGUCCACUUCUUUGGACUCUUCAAUAGCGACAACAAUAAAAUCAAAAUUUUCUCAGUAAUACGAGCAUCUGUGAGGGCUUCUCCAUUUCUUCUCAUCUGAUUGACUAUCACCAUAAUUCUUGUGUGAUAAUCAGAAAUAGAUUCUGAGGACUUCAUUUGCAAUAAUUCAAACUCACAUCGCAAAGAUUGGAGACGAAUCUUCUUGAUUCUGUCAUCACCAUAAUUCUUGUGUGAUAAUCAGAAAUAGAUUCCGAGGACUUUAUUUGCAAUAAUUCAAACUCACCUCGCAAAGAUUGGAGACGAAUCUUCUUGAUUCUGUCAGCACCUUUGUAUUUUUAUUGGAGAGCCUCCCAUAUCUCUUUUGAUGUUUCUGCGGAAGCAAUAAUCUCAAAUAUGGCUUCAUCAAGACCUUGAUAGAUGAUAGUCUUUGCUUUGUUGUAUUUCUUCCUAUUGGCUUUGAGGACUUGCUUAUCUGCCUCUUGUAGAGCAUCUUCUGCUUUUUUGGACUCUAGUUUGUCAUAACCAUAUUGCACAAUCUCUAUACACUCUUGUGAACCAAGAAAUGCCUUCAAUCUGAUACAUCAACUAUCAUAGUUGUCUUUGGUCAGCUUUGGAAUGAGUGUUUGUGCAUUUUCUGUAGUCAUUUUGCUCUUUGAAUGACUAUAUCACCUUCUAGGAGUUGAAUUUGGCAAAACAGAUACUGUAGAUGGAUCCGGAAUGCUCAAAAUAGUAGGGAAUCGGUCUGAUUUGGUUGAAAAUGGGUCAGAAAUGGGCUGAACUGGUCAGACAAACGAUUUUGGACGUCGGACGGUUCGCUGGGGUUGAACUGGGAAUAUUCUGGGGAAUAUUCUUUUGGCUCGGCUAGCGGCGGCUCGACACGGCUCAAAUAUAGCGCGUGUGCACUCCAGUCGUCUUCUACCUCUGGGCGCAUCAACUGAGAGUGAGCUACAGUGCUGAACUUUCUGUAAAACUUAAGAGACAAAGAGAAUUGAAUCUGCUUGAACGAUAUUAUUGAUCUCUGUAUCUUUACAUGUAUUUAUAGAAGCAGGAUUCCUUAUACAAGCAGGAUUCCUUACAUAGGUAGGAUUCUAGGCUUUCCUUCCUAUUAGGAAUCAAUUACUACAUUGUAAGUUAUCGUUACAAUAGGAAAGUAAAUAUGUACAAAUUGUUUAUUCCUAAUGUGGAGAUUGUGGAAUUACUAACACCCCCCCUCAAGUUGGAGAGUGGAUAUCUUGCACUCCCAACUUGUGAAUCAUCGAAAGAAACAUUUCUUUCCCCAAGGGCUUGGUCAAGAUGUCAGCCAAUUGAUGUUCAGAAUGUACAUGCCUUGUAGUGACGGAACCAUCUUGAAUCUUGUCUCUAAUGUAAUGACAAUCCAUCUCAAUAUGUCUCGUUCGCUCGUGAAAGAUUGGAUUUGCUGCAAUAUGCAAGGCAGCCUUGUUGUCACAAUACAAUAAAGCCGGUUUGUGAUGCAAAAGUCCUAAAUCCUUCAAUAGGUAUCGAAGCCAUGUCAAUUCACAACAUGCUCCCGUCAUUGCGCGAUACUCGGCCUCUGCAGAAGAUAAUGAAACUGUCUCUUGUCUUUUUGAUUUCCAAGAUAUCAAUGAAGGACCAAGGAAUACACAAUACCCUGUAGUAGAUCUCCUGGUGAGUGGGCAACCUGCCCAGUCUGAGUCACAAUAGGCUCUCAAUCUGAAAUCAGUGUUUGAAGAGAAAAACAAGCCUUUACCAGGUGCACCCUUUAGAUAUCUCACAACCCGUAGAGCUGCUUCCAUAUGAAGCUUACGAGGUUGAUGCAUAAAUCUACUUAGGACAUGGACAACAUACGUUAUAUCUGGCCUUGAUACAGUUAAGUAGAUUAAUCUACCUACUAAUCUUCUAAACCGACCCGGCUCUUUGAUUAAAUCACUUUUAUCUGACAAUUUCAAACCAUGUUCCAUAGGAGUAUCAAUAGGAGCGGCACCCAACAACCCCGCAUCCUCAAUUAUAUCUAAAGCAUAUUUACGUUGGGAAAUAAAGAUCUCAUUUGUAGAAGCUGAAACCUCAAUCCCAAGAAAGUAUUUAACAGUGCCAAGAUCUUUAAUGUGAAAAAGAUUAUGCAGGAAGGUUUUAGUGGCAGUAAUGCUAAUGGGAUCAUUUCCAAUAAUCAGAAUGUCAUCAACGUAUAUUAGAAGGGCUGUGAAGGACUUGCCUUGCUGUUUGGUGAACAGGGAAUGGUCAGCUUGGGAUUGUUCAUAGCCAGUAGAGCGAAUUGCUUCUGAGAAUUUUGCAAACCACUGACGAGAUGUUUGCUUUAACCCGCACAAAGACAUAUGGAGGCGACAUACCAGAUGUUCCUCCCCCUGUCGCAGGAGCCCGGGCGGCGGGGACAUAAAUUUCCUCAGAUAAAUCGUCGUGAAGGAAGGCAUUAUUGACAUCCAUUUGGUGGAGAGACCAACCGCAAGCGGCAGCUAAUGGAAAUAAGCAGCGAACGGAGACAAUUUUGGCAGUGGGAGAAAAGGUCUUCUGGUAGUCAACACCUUCAAGUUGGGUGAAGCCCUUGGCAACUAAGCGGGCUUUAUAUAUGUCAAUGGAGCCAUUAGAGUGAUGUUUGAGCUUGUAAACCCAGCGGCAACCAAUCAGAGUUUUGCCCGGUGGAAGGGUAGUGAGAGACCAUGUGCCAUUGUGAUGGAGAGCUUUUAAUUCAGAACGCAUAGCUUCCUGCCAUUGUGGAUGAGCAGAGGCUUCGGAGUAAGAAGUAGGCUCUAGGACCUUACUAAGUUGAGCAACAAAGGAAAGAUGAGCAGGUGUAUAUCUGUGAUAAGAAAUGUAAUUGACCAGUGGAUAACGUGUACCUCUGUUUGGACCUGGUAGCAAGGAGAUCGAUUGGUAGGAGUAAAUAGUGGAGCAGAAAUAAUCAUGGAGUUUGACCGGGGAACAGUAUGGCGGCUAGAGCGGCGAAGCAAAGGGGGGUCGGGUGAGGGCAAAGGGGUGGGAUGUGUGGUGUUUGAUGAUGGUGGAGUGGGAUUGAGAGGAGGAGAGGUUGGUGAUGUGGGCUGGUAAGGCAUACCGUCAGAGACGGUGGUGUCGCAGCGGUCAAGAGGGUCAGAAUGUGAGGUAGAGGGAACAUAAGGUUUGGGUCGGCGGGUGUAUGUAUGGAGAAGAGGUGGUGGAUUGGGAGAUGGAGAUGGAGGAGGAGAGAUUUGGGUAGGUGAUGAUGUGGAUGUGGUUGGUGUGAAAGUAGAGGGUAGGUAGGUGUUAUGGAGAGAAAGAGGAUUUGGGUCAGGUUCGUGAGGUAGGGGAGGAAUAGUGUGGUUGGGGUUUACAGAAGCAUAAGGAAAAAUGUGUUCAUAAAACAGUACAUCUUGACUGGUAAAAAUUUUGUUGUUUGAUAAAUCAAAUAAUUUAAAAGCUUUUUGACCAGUGGGAUAGCCGAUAAAGAUAGAAGGGAUAGAACGAUGCUCAAAUUUGUGAGACGGAUGAACAUUAGUGGCAUAUGCUAAACACCCAAAGACACGAAGAUGAGAGAAUGAUGGUGGUUUAGAGUAAAGAAGUUCAAAAGGGUUGUGGAAAAAGAGAAUAGGAGAGGGAAGACGAUUAAUGAUGUGUGUGGCAGUAGGUGCGUACUCACCCCAAAAUUAGGUAGGUAGGUGGGCUUGGAAUCUUAAGGCGCGAGCUACCUGUAAAAUAUGACGAUGUUUGCGUUCCACAACCCUAUUUUGUUUAAGCGUGUAAACACAAGAAUGUUGGAAAACAACACCAUUAUCAUGAAAGAAAGAUCGAAGUGAGAGAAAUUCACCACCAUUAUCACUUCGAAAAGUUUUAAUGCGGUUGUUAAAUUGAGUGAGAACAUAACUAAAGAAACGUCUUAAGAGUGAUUGUGCUUCACUUUUGUGUUGCAAGGUUUAUUGGACUGAAUAGAAAAAAUUUAAAAAUUCUUGGCAAGGAAAUUUAAACGAAGAGGAGAUGUAUGGCUUAAGCGAUUAUGCCAAAGAUCAGUGGGUGAUACGGUGAGAAUGCAGGUGGGAUCGUUCGUGGCUGAGGAAUGGUUGGUCAAGUUGUUCUUUGUUGCUAGAGCCACCAAAUAGUAUAGUCCCUUAUGUUGUUUACCCAAACCAAUCAUCCUCCUCGUAGCCAGAUCCUGCAAAAUACACCAACAAGGAAAGAAAAUUACUGAGCAAUUCAGGUCUCUUAUCAAGCGACUGACUAAUAUCAAAUCUACUUUGAAUGUAGGAACACAUAGCACAUUGUGUAAAUAAUAGACUGAAUUCAGAGGCAUUGAUCCUUUUGCAACAAUAUUAGCCUUGUCUCCACUAGGCAGGAGUACAGAAGGUAAUGAACAUCGAUUAUUUGUGCCAAGAGAUAAUUGAGGCGAAGAAGAGAUAUGAUCUGUCACCCCGCUAUCAAUGAUCCAACUACGGGAAGUGACUUUAGACAAACCUGGUUUAGCUGCUGUAUGUGGUUGAGAUUUGGACUCUGUACUUUUUGUGUCAAGAAGUGAGAGAAGUUGUUUUAAUUGGGCCUCUGAAAUCCCAAUAACUGGUUGUGCAUUUUCUUUGGACACAUGAUUCGCCGCAGAUUUAUUGUGAUAGUUGGUGUGUCUUGCACCCGACCCAUAUUUCGCCUUUGGGUGACCCGGUGGAUACCCAUGAAGUUCAUAGCAGGUUUGUACCCAAUGACAUGCCUCUCCACAGUGUGAGCAAUAAGGGCGUCCUCUGCCUGAACCAGAACGACGCCUAUCUUGAUGAAAUCGGCCGCCCCCGGUGAAAUUUUCUUUUGAUCGGGGAUCUGGCUCUCCAUAUGAGUGGUUAAAUCGAUCGAAUCUAGCCGACCCUCCAUUGAAAUUUCCAGUGGGUCUAUGGUUGCUGUUUCGAACUGUCAUGGCAGCGCUUGUUCUAAAAUCACUUACUGUGUGUGUCGAGCUUAGAAGACGUUGUUUUUCUUCUUGAGAGAUGAAGGAAUAUGCUUGGCGAACUGAAGGAAGGGGAUUCAUGAGGAGGAUCUGCCCGCGAACAGCACUGUAAGAAUCAUUUAAUCCCAUCAAAAACUGCAUCAAUUUUUGUUGGUCUUGUUGUUGUCCAUGUGUGGUGUCAUUAUAGGACGCCAGUUCAUCCUAUAGGCCUUUCAAUUUUGUGUAAUAUGCAGAAACAGAGAGUUGCUCUUGUCAAAGACAGGCAAUAUCUCGUUGGAUUUCAAAGAUACGGGGUGCGUUGCUUUGGGAGAAUCGUUCAUGAAGGUCUUCCCAAACCUCAUGAGCAGUAGAGUAAUAGAUUACACUAUCUGAAAUUUCUGGACUGAGAGUAUUAACGAUCCAGGAGUGAACCAUGUCAUUGCACCUAGACCAGGUUGCGUACUCUUCUUGAUCAAUUUCUUUUGAGGGGAUUUUGAUUGAAUCAUCGACAAAACCAAGUUUGUUUUUGGAAUUCAAGGCCAGAGUCAUGGCCCUUUUCCAAGUAGAAUAAUUGUCUCCAUUCAAAGGUUUUGGAAUUAAGAUCAUUCCUGGAUGAUCAGAAUGAUGAGUGAGGUAAGGGCUUGAGAGAUUUGCCUUUGAAACAUCCAUGGAAGAGUUUAGGAUGUGAUAGUGGAUCGAGAAUUUUUUCUGUCAAGCUUUGAUACCAUGUAAAACUUAAGAGACAAAGAGAAUUGAAUCUGCUUGAACGAUAUUAUUGAUAUCUGUAUCUUUACAUGUAUUCAUAGAAGCAGGAUUCCUUAUACAAGCACGAUUCCUUACAUAGGUAGGAUUCUAGGCUUUCCUUCCUAUUAGGAAUCAAUUACUACAUUGUAAGUUAUCGUUACAAUAGGAAAGUAAAUAUGUACAGAUUGUUUAUUCCUAAUGUGCAGAUUGUGGAAUUACUAACACUUUCAAGAGGCGCGUGUUAUCCACCUCUUGCUCCGAUGAAUCUGAUUUUUACACCGACGAGUUCGUAUGGAUGAACCCUACACUGUAGAAUGAUCAAAACUUGUUUUUGAGAACUUUGAAAAAUCAGAUGUAUCCCAACAACGCCUCUGUUUUCUGACGAACGAGACACUGAUACCAAUUGUUGGUGGGAGAAACCACUGGUGGUGGCUUUGAAACACUCAGAGGGGAUAAAACACAUUGUUUUAUUUCAACAACAAGAAACUUACAAAAUAAACAAAAGCUCUUAAUACACGCCUUCUGUUUUCUCUCUAGUGUUUCUCUCUUAUCUCUCCCACACACUAAUAAUAGCAUAAACUUAGUUGUCUAUUUAUACACAAAUUGAAAGUAAGAAAAAUUCUUAGCUGGCGGCUGGCGGCUGAUGGCUGGCGGUUUGACAAGUUGUUGGCGGUGACUGCAGGCGGUGGAUACAAGUGAUGGUUGUUGUUUUUGACCUUCUAGAAUGAGUUUAAUGCAACAACAAUGACAUGCAAGUUUACAGGAAAUUUACUAGCACUGUUAUCCAUAAAUAAAAGUACAAAUUUACACCACAUUUGCCAGUGAUUUCAACCCUGAGGAAAUGCCACCUCCUUCAAGGAUACAAACCUAAACCAAAGCAACCCAAUACGCCUAUUCUAAUAAUCCAUUAACCAUGAGACAUUGAAAAGGCACCCUCUUAAUUUCCACAAAUGUUGAGUAUUCCUUGCUCAUGGGCUGCUUCCAAGGUUCGCCGUCCAUCUGCAUAUAUGUAUCUUUCCAUUCUCCACUCCUUACUUCCAAUCGUAUUGCUGCAGCCUGAAAGAUACCAAUAAAACUUGUGAACAAGAAAGCAUUACUUCAAGAGAAUGGGGUUCAACCGUCAAAAGCAACACAAUGCCAGCCUAGGUCCUCUUUCCAUUCAUUCAGCAUUUAAGAACUUCAAAAUACGUAAUUAUCAACUGUGAACUAGGAUUAAGAAAUGGAUGUUUGGAUUUGGAUAAACCUGCUUCUAACAUUGAAUUAUAGUUGAUAAAUCUUUAACCAAAUUAUAAAUUCCAUCCAUCAAAUUGUUAAACCAAAAUAUUGUAUAACAAUACACUUCAUACAAAAGUAAUGCCAAAAAUUCAUGUGCACACACAUACACAUGCAUGCCAAAACACAAAAUGAAAAUUUCAAAAUAUAUAGAUUCUUGCUCAACAAUAUUUUAUAUUCAGUCUCUCAGAUGACUGCAACACAAUUUCUUUAGAGUUUAUGAUGGCGAACUAAUUUCUUUGAUAAGAUCCAACUGCCAGAUCAAAUACGCAAAAGAAAGAUCCAAGGAUCAUAUACUAUGAAGCUUCAAAGCAACAUAAUGUUAUCCCCCUUAUGUCCAAAAAAGAUUUUGUGUAGUUUUCUAAUAUGCAAGGGAUUACCAUGAAAAACUUACAAUUUUAACAAUUUUAAAUCUUUGUCUUGUUUGUCUUUCAGAAAUUUGAUGCAGUGGUUGGAGAUACAACGAUAGUGGCUUAUCGCUCAUCAUAUGUAGAUUUCACCUUGCCUUACUCGGAAUCAGGCAUAACAAUGGUGGUUUUGAUGAAACGCGAUGAGAGGGAUAACAUGUGGAUUUUCUUGAAGCCACUAAGCCCGAAACUUUGGUUAGUAACUGGACUAGCCUUCUUUGUCACAGGUUUAGUGGUAUGGGUGCUCGAACACCGUAUAAACAGAGAGUUUAGGGGAACACCAGAGCAACAACUAGGCAUUGUUAUCUGGUUCUCCUUCUCAACACUGGUCUUUGCACAUAGUAAUUAACUUCUCUAACUUUCGUGUUUUUGUCUUCUUUACUUUCUUUUCAUAAUUGAUUACAAGCGCAACUAAAAUGAAAUUCUGAUGUAUGAGCAUGAAUCAUUUUUUUUUAAUUUUUUUUUCCGUAAUAGGGGAGAGGCCAGAGAACAACUUGACAAGAUUUGUCUUGAUCAUAUGGAUAUUUGUGGUACUUAUUAUAUCUCAGAGUUACACUGCUAGCUUAGCCUCAAUGCUAACAGUACAGCGGAUGCAUCCCGCAUUUGUUGAUGUCACAGAGAUCAAGAGGAAUAAUUACUUUGUUGGACACCCGAAAGAUUCUUUUGUGAAAGAUUUCCUUAAAAACGAAUUACAUUUCAAUGACACGAUGUUGAGGGAAUAUAGCACUUCAGAGGAGUAUCACGAUGCGUUGUGUAGAGGAUCCCAUAAUGGUGGUGUCGCUGCUAUCUUCGAUGAAAUUCCCUACGUUAGACGCUUCCUUAACGACAAGUAUCGUUGCUCUAAAUUUCGAAUGGUAGGACCAACCUAUCAAACCGAUGGAUUUGGCUUUGUGAGUGACUCUCUCUCUCUUUUUCUGAAGUUGUUAGGUUUUAAGUAAAACUCCAUGAUUAUCAAGCUACUUAUAAUUAAGGCAAAAGGGAUCAUUAGCCAUUGUUAAGCAUGUAUAUAACUAUUACAGAACUUAAGCAGUGAGUAAACAUUUGAAGUUAUGGUACCAAAGCUGAAAUUAAUUAAUGUCUUAGUCAUAUGUUAUCUUUCAUUAAUGUCUAUUUAUUAGUAACAUCAUUAUCUUGAUAUUGUUUAGUCAGUUUUUACUUCUUUAGAUUUGAAACUUAUUUAUGAUAAGUUACAUAGCUCUUUAAAUGAAAGAGUUUAUGUUAUUUAUGUUUUCCUAAUUUUGUUGUGAUUGAUUUCAUCUAUAAAUAAGAGUUAAGGGAUGGCAGUAACUUAUGAAAAACAUUAUGCUCUUUGUUCUUUGCUGCAAGUUCUAUGUUCUUUGUUUUUCUAGUUAUGAUCAACAUUCAGUUCUAUAUAUACCUAUUAUCAACAAUUAGUAUCAGAGCUUUCUUUGAUCUUUGAAGGGAUUGUGAGUGAAACACGAGAGAUUAGUGAGGUUAAAUCAAAGCAGUUUUCUUUGAAGGGAUUGUGAGUGAAACACGAGAGAUUAGUGAGGUUAAAUCAAAGCAGUUUUCUUUGAAGGGAUUGUGAUUGAAACACGAGAGAUUAAAUGAGUUUUUUUUUUUAAAAGAUGGAUUCUGCAAAUUUUCCAGCAAAAACACCAGUGUUCACAGGGCAGAAUUUUGGUGUGUGGGCUGUGAAAAUAGAAAUUUAUCUCAAAGCUUUUGACUUGUGGGAGAUAGUGGAGAGCGAUAAGCAACCAACUGCACUAGGAAACAAUCCUACAAUCGCACAGAUGAAGUUUUUUAAUGAAGAAAAGGCAAAGCGAUUCAAAGCUCUUACUUGUCUUCAUAAUGCUGUGAGUGAAGAAAUCUUCACCAGAAUUAUAGCUUGUAAAUCUGCUAAAGAAACAUGGGAUAAACUAAAAGCAGAAUUUCAUGGAGAUGAGAAGUCAAGAAAGAUGCAAGUCUUGAACCUCAGAAGACAGUUUGAAGGACUGAAGAUGAAGGAAACCGAGACUAUCAAAGACUUCUCUUCUCAAAUUUCAAAACUUGUGAAUCAAGUGAGACUUUUGGGGGAAGAUUUUCCAGAGUCAAGAAUAGUAGAGAAGGUUCUGGUAAGUCUACCAGAGAAAUUUGAGCAUAAGAUUUGCUCUCUGGAAGAUUCAAAAGAUUUUUCAGAAAUGAGUCUUCAAGAAUUGGUUAAUGCAUUACAAGUGGUAGAGCAAAGGCAAGCUUACAAACAAUAAGAAACAAGUGAAAGAGCUUUUGUUGCAGUUUCCAAGAAGAGCCGGGCUAAGAAUUUUUACAGGAACAAUCAAGAAGGAAAAAGAGAAAGAGGGAAAAGCUGGCAAUCAAAUAAUUGGCAUCAGAAUAACAAAAAUAUCAUCUCUCGAGGGAAAGAAAAGAGAGAACAUUUCCCUCCCUGCAAAUUCUGUCAGAAAACAAAUCAUCUAGAAGCUUGGUGCUGGCUUAAGAAUGCACAAUGCAGAAGUUGCAAACAAUUUGGUCACAUCCAAAGGUUCUGCAAAAACAAAUCAGUAGCAGCGAAAGAAGCUUAUAUUGCGGGAAAUUCAGAAGCCAAGGAAGAUCAUUUAUUCAUGGCUACAUUAGAACAGAUGUGCAACACAGCAGAGGUAAACAAUUCAUCAUGGCUUAUUGAUAGUGGCUGCACCAAUCAUAUGACUGCAGAUUUGAGUUUAUUCAAGGAUUUGGAUAAAAGCUAUGUGUCCAAAGUCAGAAUUGGCAAUGGAGAGUAUGUGAAGGUUGAAAGCAAAGGGGCGAUUGAAGUUGAAACAAUGUCAGGUACAAAAACUCUAAAAAAUGUGCUUUAUGUACCUAAGAUUAAUCAGAAUCUAGUGAGUGUGGGACAAUUACUGGAAUCUGGCUACUCAUUAUCUUUUAGUGAUGGAAUGUGCAAUAUUAGAGACAAGAUGGGAAUACUACUUCUCCCUGCUAAGAUGAUGAAUAGAAGUUUUAAUAUUGAUUGGAAAGAAGCUUGUUUGAGUGUUAACACUUGUGUCUAUACUGAUUCUGUUUUAUAGCACAAAAGACUGGGGCAUUUCAAUUAUGCUACCUUAAAAAGGAUGGCUGAUCUGCAGAUGGCUUCUGGUUUACCAGAUAUACAAGAACAAUAUGAUAUUUGUGAAGCCUGUCAAUUAGGAAAACAGACUAGAAUUGUUUUUCCUGAUAAUGCAUUUAGAGCAUCAUCAAAGCUCUAGUUGGUACACACAUAUGUGUGUGGUCCGAUGCACAAUGAAUCUUUGAAUGGUUCAAAGUACUUUCUAUUAUUUAUUGAUGACUAUAGUAGAUUCUGUUGGGUUUAUUUUCUUAAAUCUAAGGCUGAUGUGUUUACUGAGUUUGUAAGAUUUAAGACAACAAUUGAACUAGAAACAGGAAACAAACUGAAGAUGCUGAGAUCUGAUAAUGGGGGUGAGUUUACCUUUCAAAAAUUUGAGGGAUAUUUAGCAAAAGAAAGGAUCAAACAUCAACUAACAGUGCCCUACACUCCACAACAGAAUGGAGUCAGUGAGAGGAGAAACCAAACAUUGAUGGAAAUGGCAAGAUGUUUGCUAUAUGAGAAGAAAAUGCCAUUAAAAUUCUGGGCAGAAGCAGUAAACACAGCAUCCGACCUUCUAAAUCGUAUAACCACAAAAGUAUUGGGAGACAAGACUCCUUAUGAAAUUUGGUAUGUCUUUAAACCUAAUGUUGAUUAUUUAAAAGUUUUUGGCAGCCCUUGUUAUGUCUUGCAACCUGAAGUUAAGAGAAGAAAACUUGAUCAGAAGGCUGAUAUGGGAAUUCUUAUAGGCUAUAGCACAAAAUCUAAGGCUUAUAAAAUCUAUGAUCUGAAAUCUAAUAAAGUUGUGAUUGCUAGAAAUGUAAAAGUUACAGAGAAUGGUAUAUGGAACUGGGAAGCUGCAUCAAUUGAAGGGACAAAACAUGAGUAUCAAAUUGAACUGGAUGCUACAGAGGAUGAUGAUACUAUCGAUGAAAAACCAGUAAGGGGGACAAGGUCCUUAGCUGACAUUUACAGCAGGUGCAAUGUUGCUGAAGCAGAACCAAUAGAUUUUAAAGAAGCUAUCAACUCACAAGUAUGGAUAGAUGCAAUGAAGGAGGAGAUCACGAUGAUAGAAAAGAAUGAAACAUGGAUACUGGUUGACAGACCCGUUCACAAGAAGGUAAUUGGUGUGAAAUGGAUUUUCAAAACCAAGUUGAAUGCAGAUGGGAGUAUCAACAAGCACAAAGCAAGACUUGUAGUGAAGGGUUAUUCACAAGAGCCAGGUAUUGACUUCACUGACACAUUUGCUCCAGUUUCUAGGCUUGAUAAAUAAAGCUCUUGCUUGCUCUAACAGCACAAAAUGGUUGGCAUAUUUUUCAGUUGGAUGUUAAGUCUGCAUUUCUGAAUGGUGUUCUAAAUGAAGAAAUAUAUGUUGAACAACCUGAUAGCUUUGAAAAGAAGAUCACACCAAACAAAGUAUAUUUGCUAAAGAAGGCUUUGUAUGGACUUAAACAGGCUCAUAGAGCCUAGUACAACAGAUUGGAUGGGUAUCUUUUGAGUUUAAGCUUUGAAAGAAGCAUGAAUGAAGUAACUUUGUAUGUGAAAAAUGUUGACAAACAUACUCUGAUCGUAUCAGUGUAUGUAGAUGAUUUAUUGAUUGCAGAAGACAAGGAGCAGCUGGUAGAGGAGUAUAAAACCAACAUGAAGGAUAAGUUUGAGAUAAAUGAACUUGGUUUGCUGUCAUACUUCUUAGGCAUGGAAGUAACUCAGUCAGAGCAAGGUUAUUUCCUAUGUCAAAAGAGGUUUACAAUGAAGCUACUAAACAAAUUUGCAAUGGAAAAUUGCAAACCAGUCAGUGCACCUAUGGUUCUGAGACAAGCUAAUGUAGGAGGAUGGAGCUCCUAAAACUAAUGGAAAAGCCUACAGAAGUUUAGUUAGCAGCUUGUUGUAUUUAACUGCUACACAUCCAGACAUUGUUUUUGCUGUUAAUUACCUCUCUAGGUUCAUGCAAAGUCCAAGUCAGAUACAUUUUGUUGCAGCCAAGAGAGUUCUGAGAUAUCUAAAAGGGACCUUAGAGUUUGGCAUGCAUUUUGUGAAAUCAAGUUCAGUUAAACUUGUUGGUUUUUCUGAUAGUGAUUGGGCUGGAAGUGAUGAAGAAAUGAUAAGCUCCUCAGGUGAUUGCUUUGCUAUUAGAGAAAGCAUUUUCUGUUGGAACUCAAAGAAGCAAUCAGUGGUUGCACAUUCCACUGCAGAGGCAGAAUACAUAGCAGUAUAUGUGGCAGCAAAGCAAUUGAUAUGGCUAAGGAAAAUGUUGAAUGAUCUAGACUUUGAUCAACGAAGUCCCACAGAAUUGUUCUGUGACAAUACAUCAGUAAUAGCUAUUUCAAAGAAUUUUGUUUUUCAUGACAGGACCAAGCAUAUGAAGAUCAAGUUCCAUGCUAUCAUGCAAUUCCAGCAAGAAGGGGAACUAGAGAUGAUAUACUACACUUCAAAAGAGCAAUUAGCAGACCUGUUCACCAAGCCUUUAGCUAAAGAUAGAUUUGAAGAUCUAAGGGAGAUGAUAGGAAUGUGCAGCUUUGGAACCAAGGAGAAGUGUUGAAGUUAUGGCACCAAAGCUGAAAUUAAUGUUUCAGCCAUAUGUUAUCUUUCAUUAAUGACUAUCUAUUAGUAACAUCAUUAUCUUGAUGUUGUUUAGUCAGUUUUUACUUCUUUAGAUUUGAAACUUAUUUAGGAUAAGUUACAUAGCUCUUUAAAUGAAAGAGUUUAUGUUAUUUAUGUUUCUUAAUUUUGUUGUGAUUGAUUUCAUCUAUAAAUAAGAGUUAAGGGAUGGCAGUAACCUAUGAAAAAUAUUAUGCUCUUUGUUUUUUGCUGCAAGUUCUAUGUUCUUUGUUUUUCUAGUUAUCAUCAACAUUCAGUUCUUUAUAUACCUAUUAUCAACAUAAACUUUCUAAUCAACUCGAUCUAUUUUAUUCUUCUUUUUUCAUUAUAGGCCUUCCCACCUAACUCCUCACUAGUCUCUCAUAUCUCAAAAGCAAUCUUGAAUGUCACUGAAGAUUGUUAAAAUAAUUAAGAUCAAACAUAAAUGGGAGGCUAGAAUUCUGAAUAAUCUGUAUAUUAUGAGUGCAUUAUGAGUGUUUAGUCUUAACCGAAAUACAAAUAAAGUAUAUAUAGGUUAAACUGAAAGUAAUAUUCUACCCUUAAUAAAUAAGACUACAUAAAUAUUAUUUAACAUCUCCCCUCAAAUUCACGAUGCGGCAGCUACAAGCAUCGAGAGUUUGCCAACCAGAAAAUGAAAACGAGAGAUGGAAUGCGCCUUGGUAAAGAAAUAUGCAAUCUGCAAGGAAGAAGGAACAAAAGGCAAAGCAAUGGUGCCAUAUUUGAGAUGAUGACGAGUAAGAUGAUAAUCGAUCUCAAUAUGCUUAGUUCGCUCAUGAAAAACCGAGUUGUGAGCCAUUUGAAUAGAACUCUGGUUGUCACAAUACAUAGGAGUAGGAUGAGAAAAGGAAACUCUCAUAUCAGCAAGUAACCAACGUAACCAAACAAUCUCUUUGGUAGUAGAUGUCAUGGCACGAUAUUCUGCUUCGGUGGAUGAUUGAGAAAAAAUAGAUUGUUUCUUGCUCUUCCAAGAAAUAAGAGAAUCACCUAAAAAGAUACAAAACCCGGUAACAGACUUGCAAUCUGUGGGAUCACUACCAUGAUCAACAUCAGAGUAUGCACGCAACUCCAAGGAAGAGGUGGAUGAAAGUAAAAGACUCUAAACAACUAUACCCCGAAGAUAUCACAAAAUACAAAGAACAGCUGCCCAGUGAACAAUAGUAGGAGAAGCAACAAACUGACUAACAACAUGAACAACAUAUGCAAUAUCUGGACGAGUAAUGGUGAGAUAUACCAAACUCCCAACAAUAGUGCGGUAUAAAGUAGGAUCUAUCAAAGGUAAACCAUCAGAAGAAGAAUACCUUGCGUUAACCUCAAUAGGAGUAUCUAGAAUCUUGUUAUUAGUAAGUCUAGCCCGCUCAAGAAUAUCUGCAACAUAUUUCGACUGAGAAAGAAGGUAACCUCUAAUAUUAUAAGGGUUGUAUGAUUAUAGUUGUUUGUUGUAAACAACUAGAGAGGAGGAAUUAUUAAGAGGUUAUAAAUUACUUCUCACAUGGUGCAAAUUAGAGGGCAAAGCUUCUCUCCUUUUUUUUUUCUCUUCCUCAAACUUGAAACCUAUUUUUUCCUCUUUUAGUCACCCCUUGUUAGUGGAAUCUUCUAAAAUACAUUCUUUAAUAUUUAAUUCUAACUGGCUUUAUUAACACAUUACUUUUUCUAACCACUCACCAAACGAUGUUAAUAACUCACUUUUACACCCACAUCCGCAGCCUUAAGAAUUACUCAUGUAAAAAUUACUCUUGUAAUUAUUAUCACCAUUUUCUAACCUUGUACCAAACGCAACCUAAGCCAUAGAUCACAACCAUCACAUGGAGAUAGAUACUCAACAGAGCAAAAUUGACUAGUGUGAAAAAUAGACUCGGAGGACAGAUGUGUGAUACCUUUUCCAAAUACUGUCGUUUAGGACUACCCCAUGGAUUUCUUCCACUCCCAUAAUUGUGAAGAUUUAAAGCAACAAUCGCUCUUACACUAUUUGUUCUGGUUUGAUUUUUUUUUUAGCUAGGAUCCAAGACUUGUUAGGAUUAGGGUUUGAGCUUACUAGUAAAAGUUUUGGGUCAGUUUUUGUAAAUGGAUCAAUUCAGCCCAUAAGGGUGGAUCAAUUAGGGUUAAUUUCUCAAAACUAUUUAAACAUACGUAAAGCCUAAAUUCCAAAACCUUUGAUGAAUAACACUUAUGAACUUUUCAGUUUAAAGUGUGAGAGAGAUUCUUUUAUUUUUUUUGUUCUUAAACGAACUCAAUCUGUCUUAUCAAAGAUUAACUAGCUUUAUGAUAUCAUUCGACUUCAUUCCAAUAGUGCUGAUGCAUUGAGAUAUGUUUUUAUUGUGUCACAUUCCUAUUAGACCUCUCUUUGCUUUCUGAGAUGAGAUCUCAAUCUUGAUUGUGAGUUGCAUGACCAUGUAAUCAUGAGAUUCGCAUCAGUUGGUAUCAGAGCUAUGCUCUAAAAACAGGUUAUAUCUUUCUAAAUUUUUUAUUUUCCUAGUGUUCGUUAAGUUUUUUUAGUGUUUGCAUCAGUAGUUAAAAUGAUUAAUAGUGAAUUACUAAAAUGAUUUUUGUUUCUUUUAACAACAGUAAGAGAAUCAUGAUUUCCAAAAAUACAUAUUGCAACUUAUACCUUGACGGUGUUGGGGCCUAUUCGAAGUUAAAACGAUAAAUUAAACUUUGCCAAAACUUCCAAACAUUAUUUAAAACAGAUAUUUUAAUUUUCUUGAGAUUUUCAUUUACAAUUUAGAGCAUUGGACUCUAGUCAAAAUCUAGCAAGCAAGAUUUAAUUGACCCAAAACAACUUGAAUUAACUUGUUAAACUCGUAAUUUAAGUUAUGAAUUUAACUGAGCUUGAUAACAUUAUUUUUUAAGAAAUAAUUUUUAUUUAAGUAUAUAAAAAUAAAAAUAUACACUAUUAGAAACGCAAUUAGAUAAGAUUAAAAAAAAAUAAUGGUUUGCAAAAAAAAUGCUUACAUUAUAAAAAUAUGAAUAAAAGCAAUGUAAAAAUUGAAUGGUAUGUAAUAAAAUAAUAUACAAAAUAUAUUCUUAAUUAAAUUUAAUAAAUUAAUAUAUUUAUAUUAUCUUAAAUUAAUUAAUUUUUAAAAAAUAAAUUUAAACUAGAUAAUAUAUAUAUAUAUAUAUAUAAUCUUUUUCUCAUUAUUUUUUGUUUUAAACUCCUUUUGUUUUCUCAAUUUCUUUUUUUUUUUCUCAUUUCCUUUUGUUUAGAUUUUUUUUCUUCUCUCUUUCUUUUUAAUUUUCUUUUCACUGAUGCCCGUAAAAAUAUUAAAAAUCAUGGAGACAUAUAAAUAUAGUUAAAUUGCAAGAAAUGGAAUAAAUUAUAUGAAAAUAGUUAAAGCUUGAUUAUCAUUUUUUAUAUAUUGUUAUUGAUAUGCAUAUUUCCAACAAUUAAAGACUUCAUUUUCAUACCAUAUUGAAUCCAUUGAUAUCUAAUUUUAAUGUGUUUUGAUCGAGAAUGGAUAGUAUGAUGUUCACUAAAAUGACUUGAAUUUUGGAUGUCACGAUGCAACUCAAAGUUCUUUUACAUUGGGCCAAAUUCAUAUAAGAAUUUUUGUACCCUUAACAACUAUUUGUCAUUUUCAGUAAGAGCAAUGUAUUCAACCUUUGUAGUGGAUAAUUUAACUAUUAGGCCAAGUUCAUAUUUUUGCAUCAUUAAUUGCUAUGAAUCUGCUUCCUUGCAAAAGUCAUUAAGUAUCUCGAUGUGAAUUUUCUGAAAUCAACAUUACUAGCUAUACAUGUAUUUAUAUAUCCAUCUAGAAUAGGUUUAUCAUUUUCAAAACAUAGACUAAAACUAAAAGUGCAUUUGAGAUACUUAAAUAUCCAUCUUUUUUUUUUAACAUAUCUCUCGUGAAAUAGCCAAAAUUUCUCAUUAUUUUAUGUUACUUCAUGGAGAAAUUUGGUGUCAGACGAAAAAGUCAGAAUAGCCAUGGUGGAACUAAAAAACCACAGUAACCCUCCCAGCACAACCUAACUUCUGAUAGAUUAAGGGUAAAAACAGUGUUAUCACUAUUAAUAUCCACAAUUAAAUUAGUUUGUAUCCACAAUAUCAUUCACAGUAAAAUUGCCAUAACUCUAUUUAAAAAAAAAAAUUGACAAAUGUUUUGUCGAAUCAUGCCCCCACUUAAUAUCAUGCCAUGCUAUCGUUAGAAAUAAAGUUCAUUUUUACAAUUUAAAAUAUAGCAUAUUUUAAUUAAAAAACUGACUUUACAAAAUGCAGCACUGGAUUUAAUGAAAAAUGAAGAAGUUGAAGCAAUGAUGUAAUGCUAAGUUAUAUUUUUAUCUUUUCUCUUCCUUGGCUUUUUGAUAAUCAUGCAAUGCUAAGUUAUUUUUUUUGGUUGAAAAGAUAUAGAAGCCUUCAGAUUUCUAAAAAAAAAUAUUUUUGUUUUAAAUUAAUUGUUUUGGUGGUUUUAGAUUGUUCUAAUAUGUUAAUAUCGAAAAAAAAUUUUAAAAAAUAAAAUAAAAUAUUAUUUUAAUAGAUUUAUAAACAAAAAAAUACUUUUAAAAAAAAUUGUUACCACAGUACCAAAUAGAAUUUCUAACCUCUUGGUUGUGUUUGUUUAUGUGACUCUAUGGUGUGUUUUAACUUAUUUUUUAUUUUAAAAAUAUUAAAUUAAUAUUUUGAGAGAUGAAUGUAGCUAUACUAUACUACAAACCUUCAAUGGCUUUUCCUUUUUCUUCAACAAUACCGCAAGAAGCUUGAAAUCAAAUGUGGUUCAUGCAUUGAUGUUUUCUUGCAUGUUACAGUAUCACUAUUUCACUCUUGAAGUGUUUUGCUUUUUAUAUCUUAUUUUUUUGUAUUUAAUUUUGUGAAUUAUUUAAUAAAUAGUGAAGCACCAUCAUAAAUCCCAAUUCUUUUAAUUUUUAUAAUUCGGCUUACUCUUAAUUACUACAAGUGUUUGGAUGGAUUUUCUUGGUUAUGCUUUGGAAAAUACAGUUUGGAUAAAAAUUAUGGAUAUAAUAUCUAACCCUCCCUCCAAUAUAUAUAUAUAUAUAUAUAUAUAAUCUUUUUCUCAUUGUUUUUUGUUUUAAUCCUUUUGUUUUCUCAAUUUUUUUUUCUCAAUUCCUUUUGUUUAGAUUUUUUUCUUCUUUCUAUUCUUUUUAAUUUUCUUUUCGCUAAUGCCCGUAAAAAUAUUACCUGAAAGAGAACAGACUGAAAGAGAACUUCUAUGCUGCCAAGUCCAUGAUUAAACCCCUCGGUUUAGGAUACUAGAAAAUUGACAUGUGCCCUAACUUCUACAUGUUAUACUACCUUGAAAAUGCUGAGCUGACCGAGUGCAUGACAUGUGGGCAUUCCCGUUACAAACCCAGAACUGGCAGAGGAAAGACUCUUGUGGCAUAUAAAAAACUUAGAUACUUCCCAAUCACACCUAGACUGCAAAAGUUAUUCAUGUCACCAAGGACCGCUGAGCACAUGACAUGACACAAAUCACAUCAUGCGGUUGAUGGAGUGAUGGUGCAUCCUUUUGACGGCAAAGCAUGGAAACACUUUAACAGUGUGCAUCCUCACUUUUCAGCUAAAUCAAGGAACGUGCAUCUUGGGUUGUGUACAGAUGGAUUCAACCCAUUUGAGUCAUUUGCUGCUCCUUAUUCUUGUUGGCCGGUCAUAUUGACGGUUUAUAACUUGCCACCGAGGAUGUGUAUGAGGGCGGAGUUCAUGUUUUUAUCUAUGGUCAUACCAGGUCCGAGCAGUCCGGGGCGGAAUAUAGAUGUUUAUCUUCGACCGUUGAUUGAUGAGUUGACAUAGUUGUGGUCCUCUGGAGCUUUGACUUAUAAUAUCUCGAGGAAACAUAAUUUGGUAUGAGAGCGGCUUUGAUGUGGAUUAUCAAUGAUUUCCUAGCUUAUGGAAUGGUUUCUGGUUGGAGCACGCAUGGAAAACUAGCAUGUCCAUACUCUAUGGAGAACAACAAGGCAUUCACACUAACAAACAGGGGUAAAGCUUUUUUUUUUACUGUCACCGUCGUUUCUUGCCACCGAAUCACAGGUACUGAAAGAACAAAAAAGAUUUCUUUGUUGGUAGAGUUGAAAAGGAUGUUGCACCCCCACGUCUUUCUGGUGAAGAAUUGCAUGAUGUUGUGUCAGAGUACGGUAUUGUGUUUGGUCUCCAAUCAGGUAAGCAUAAGUUUCCUGGUUUUGGUUUGACCCAUAAUUAGGUGAAGCGAAGUAUCUUUUAGGAGUUUCCUUAUUGGAAGACCAAUCUUCUUCGUCAUAAUCUUGACGUCAUGCACAUUGAAAACAACGUAUUUGAGAACAUUUUCAACACCGUCAUGGAUGUGAAGGGGAAGACAAAAGACAACAUCAAGGCUAGAUUGGAUGUAGCGUUGUUCUGUAACCGUAAAAAUAUAGAGUUGGUUUGUGAUGGGUCAUGGGUCGCAAAACCAAGACCAAGCUUCGUGUUAAAGAAAAACGCACAACUACUAGUCUACAAAUGGCUUAAGAGUCUGCGUUUCCCCGAUGGACAUGCCUCGAACAUAUCAAGGUUGUUUAAUACGGAGGAAUGCAAAUUAUUUGGAAUGAAGAGUCAUGACUGCCAUGUGUUUAUGCAAACACUCAUCCCAUUAGCUUUUCGUGAUUUGUUGCAAAAGGAGAUAUGGGAUGCACUCACGAAGAUCAGUCAUUUCUUCAGAGAUAUAUGCUCCAGCAAGAUGAAUGUUGAUCACAUUGAAAGGCUUGAAAUGAAUAUCGUGGAGACAAUAUGCAAACUUGAGAUGAUAUUCCCUCCAUUAUUUUUUGACUAAAUGGAGCAUCUAUCUGUACAUUUACUGUUUGAGGUAAAAGUUGGAGGACCGGCCCAGUACAGAUGGAUGUAUCCAUUCGAGAGGUUAGAUAUUACAAUUGCUAUGUAAUUCAUAAUUAAACAUUUCUUAAUUUUUUUAAUUGAUAAUUUUUAAUUAAUUCUAUAUAUGUAGGUACUUGUUCAAUCUUAAAAAAAAAGGUUAAGAACAAGGCGUAUGUUGAGGCAUCAAUAUGUGAGGCCUAUAUUGUUGAGGAGAUCUCAACAUUUAUCUCAUACUAUUUCGAACCUCAUUUGAGAACGAAGAUCAACCGUGUUCCACAGCAUGAUGAUGGUCGUGAAGUGCCUUUAAGUGGAAACUUGUCAAUAUUCUCCAAUCCUGGACGACCCACACCUAAAAAUAUCGUGAGGGGAAGAUAUUUGUCUGAAAUAGAGUUCAGACAAGCACACAAUUAUGUCAUAUUUAACUGCGAUGAGCUGAGACCUUUUAUUAAGUAAGUAGAUGUUCGACUUAAACUUUGUCAAAAGUGUAUUUAUGUUUUGUGAUACCAUAAACUCAUAUAAUUUGGAACAAUCUUGCAGGCAACAUCAACGAUACUUACUAUCCAAUAACUCACAGCUAACUGAAUCCCAGAUCUUUCAAUUACAAGAUGAACAAUUUGCCACAUGGUUUAGAACACAUGUAAGUCCUAUCACAAACUCAUUAUCUCUUGCAAUGUAAUUAAUUGUACGUCAAUAUUACAGAAUAUCCGUUUAUUGAUUAUUGUUGUAUUUGAUAUACAAGAUUUAUCAAAUGGGAGGUAGUGCUGCUAUUUCACUGUCUUUACUAAGCUUGUGCCCUAAAAGAAAAUUCAAGUGCUAUAACGAGUAUUUUGUCAAUUGAUAUGUCUUUCAUACUGAAGAAUACGGGCAUGGAAGAAAGACAUACAACAGCGGUGUUUGUAUUAAGGGAUCGACUUCUAGUGAGUUUGGAGUUGACUACUACGGUAGAUUGGAAGAGGUCAUCAAAUUGCAAUAUCAUAGCGAGCAGAAUAGAGUGUUUUUAUUCAAAUGCUAUUGAUAUGACACAACUGACAAAGGAAUCAGAGUAGAUCCUCACUAUGGUCUCGUUGAAAUCAACUCAAAAGCUAGACACCGUAACGUAAACGAUGUCUUUGUUUUCGCAAAGCAAUGCCAACAAGUUUAUUACACAUACACCCCUUCCUUUAGAAAGAACCAAUCAAGAGUUGAUUGGUAAUCCGUUUUAAAAACCAAACCCAAGGGUCGUGUCGAGGUUGUUCAGGAUGAGAACGAAGACACAAGUGUGAUAGAUGAAGUCUUUCUAGCUAGUGAGGUUGUUGAACCAUACCGAGUUGCUCCUUCGAUUGACUUAGACGAAAAUUUAAAUUUUCGUGUUUUCGACGAUAGUGUUGUUGAUGUUGAUACAGAGGAGUUGAAUGCUGUUUUGAGCUCUAGUGAAGAGUGCGAUGAAGAUGAUAACAAUUCAAUUGAGGACGAAGACGAAAAUUCUGACAAAAUAUGUUGUAAAGCUUUAUUUUUAUAAUGUAAUAUCAAGGAUGAUAUUUUGAAACAUGGAAUAUUUAUUUUAUAAUUGCCAGCUCUUGUUAUUGUGUUGUGCGUGCUGUAAGUUUGCAAUUCAAGAACAGCACUUGCAAAAAAAUUGUCAGUUUUACCGAAAAUAAAUAUGUUAAUAUCAAAAUAAAUUUUAAAAAAUAAAAUAAAAUAUUAUUUUAAUAGAUUUAUAAACAAAAAAAACUACUUUUAAAAAAAAAUGUUACCACAGGACCAAAUAGAAUUUCUAACCUCUUGGUUGUGUUUUUUUAUGUGACUCAAUGGUGUUUUUGAACUUAUUUUUUAUUUUAAAAAUAUUAAAUUAAUAUUUUGAGAGAUGAAUGUAGCUCUACUAUACUACAAACCUUCAAUGGCUUUUCCUUUUUCUUCAACAAUACCGCAAGAAGCUUGAAAUCAAAUGUGGUUCAUGCAUUGAUGUUUUCUUGCAUGUUACAGUUUCACUAUUUCACUCUUGAAGUGUUUUGCUUUUUAUAUCUUAUUUUUUUGUAUUUAAUUUUGUGAAUUAUUUAAUAAAUAGUGAAGCACCAUCAUAAAUCCCAAUUCUUUUAAUUUUUAUAAUUCGGCUUACUCUUAAUUACUACAAGUGUUUGGAUGGAUUUUUUUGGUUAUGCUUUGGAAAAUACAGUUUGGAUAAAAAAUAUGGAUAUAAUAUCUAACCCUCCCUCCAAAAUAUAUAUAUAUAUAUAUAUAUAUAUAUAUAUAUAUAUAUAUAUAUAUAAUAUUUUUCUCAUUGUUUUUUGUUUUAAUCCUUUUGUUUUUUCAAUUUGUUUUUUUUUUCUAAUUUCCUUUUGUUUAGAUAUUUUUUCUUCUCUCUAUUCUUUUUAAUUUUCUUUUCACUAAUGCCCGUAAAAGUAUUAAAAAUCAUGAAAACAUGUAAAUAUAGUUAAAUUCCAAGAAAUGGAAUAAAUUAUAUGAAAAUAGUUAAAGUUUGUGAAAUAGGAUAAAUUUUCUUUUCUUUUGCUUAUUUCUGGUUUUCUUUUUAAUUUUCUUUUCACUGAUGCCCGUAAAAGUAUUAAAAAUCAUGAAAACAUGUAAAUAUAGUUAAAUUCCAAGAAAUGGAAUAAAUUAUAUGAAAAUAGUUAAAGUUUGUGAAAUAGGAUAAAUUUUCUUUUCUUUUGCUUAUUUCUGGUUUUCUUUUUAAUUUUCUUUUUAUAAACUUUGUAUGGUUGAGAUUUGGGUAUGAAACAAAAAUCUCAUGUUAUGUGCCUUAUAACGCAAAUUUAAGAUGAGUUUGUGCCCGAGUCAACUUCAGAAUGGUCCGCAAUGGUUGAUUAACAGGUCUGAAUUAUAGUGUACCUAUAAUAAAAAAUAUUACAGCUAAUUCUUUUUUUUUUUAGUUUAACGUGGGUAUCCGGGCCAGCUUGCGCGCACCUCGACUAAUCCCACGGGCCCUGAAGUUAAUGACCAUGUAAGCCUCCAGUGGCCAUCAUAUGAGCAACAACAGGGCUUGAACCUGAGACCACAGAGAAAGCAAACUUCUUGGUCCCAAACUUUUACUAUUAGAUCACCACCUAGACGGUUUAAUUCUUGUAUCUGAUGUCGUGGUUAUAGAUAUGCCAUAAAUUUAAUUUUUAUUUUAUAAUCAUAUCCACGUUAUAUAUUUUCUAAAACAAAAAAAUACAUGUUAAAAUAUUUUACACCACAAAAAUAAACGUUGACAGAGUCCAGUGAAAGAUGCAUCUGACCUGCCGCUACCAUCUGGAAGAAAACAACCUUUUCCUCUCUGCAUGUUUGACUCUAUGAAUCACAAUUGUUAUUUAUCGAUCUUGCUGCCUUUUCACUGCCUUUUCAAAUAUAUUUUCUUAAAUAAUACAAUUUAAUAAAAGUCAAACUUUUCACUGCCUUUUAAAAUAUCACAGUCGGAAAGUGUGACUUUUUCAAAAUACAUACAGUACAGGGAAAAAAAAAGGGAAAAAAAGAAAGUACAAAUAAAUCUCAAAAUAAACAUGAUUUAGUUAGAAGAUAUUUCUUAUUGUUUAAUAAAAAUGAACAAUAAAAAUGAUUAAGUGAAAAAUGAUAUUGUUGCGUCGCUAUUUGCAAUUAUGUCAUCACGAUAUAUUUAAUAUUUAAAAAUAAAAAAAGAAAAAAGAAAGUAUAUAUUGUACCAAUAAAUCUCAAAAUAAACACGUAUGGUCAAUUUAUUUUGCCUUCCUGGUUAUUAACUAUAAAUUAAAAGAGAUGAGUUUUAAUUAAUAUUUUUUAUAUUUAAUGUGCUGAUAUUUGAUAUUAAAAGAGCUAAAAAUAUUAUUUUACUAUAUUUUUAAAUAAAAAAUAAAGAGUCACUGCCGCGUGAGAAACAUUUAAUUUUUACAAUUACACAACAUGGUCGCGACAAGUACGUCCAAAUAUGAGCCAGCUAAAAUUUGCUAAUGGCUCCACAAAUAUUAAGCAUAACCAGAGUUGCCAUCAACAACAAUCUUCAUGAGAAUGGCAAAGCAGAAAAGCUUCUGCUGUUUUCUUUGCUUUCUCUCAGUUAUUCUGUGGAGUGAGCAGGUGACAAUGGGGAAGGUGAUUAUACGAGUAGGAGUGGUUCUUGAUAUGAACUCAGUAGUCGGAAAAACGGCAGAGAACUGCAUAUCUGCUGCAGCAAACGAUUUUUAUGCUAGGAAUGCUGAUUAUCGGACUAGAAUCUCUCUUGUCACCAGGGAUUCCAAAGGGGACGUCGUAACAGCAGCAUCUGCAGGUACCACUUCCCUAAAUAUUCACCCACGAAAUCGAAUACAUGAUCACACGACGACAAAGAGGGAAGUGGGCCACUGGCCACUUUUGUCUUGUGUUCUACCUAAAAUGCACUGUAUAUGUAAAGAUCAUAACAGCAAAUUUUCAGAUGCUUAAUUUAUUCAUUUUAUACUCUCUCUCUCAGUGUGUUUUUAAACCAGAUCUUGUGCUUAAAGCACUAGCUAGCUAGAAUUGAUGGUAUUUUUCAAUGAUUUUUUUUUCCUUUUUAUUGUUAUUUAUAUUUUUCAAUAAUCUCAUAUUUAAUAUAUAUUUGAUGAUGUGAUUGAUAUUGCAAUUGAAUUUAUAAAAAAAAAUCUAGAAUUAAUUGUUUUUACAUUUUCAAUUGUUUUUUUUAUCGCUAUAUCAAAUAGGGUUUUAUGUCUAGUUUAUAGGAUUUUUUUUAGUGCGAUUCUACAUUUUAUUUGAUAGUUUACUUAUUUUUAUUUUAAAAAUUUGUGAAGGUUUUGAGAUAGUUUGGCGUUCAAGUAUUUUAUCUGAAAAUGAGUAGUAAUACAAAAUUAACUAAAUUCAUUGCCUACAACGAGUUUGUUGAGAAAAUUCAUCAAUAUAUCAAAUUCAUCAUCCACAACUCCUACUUCUCUCUCAUUUUGUAAUUAAAAUAAACUUAAUCAACCAACAACAUUAAGAAUCAUUCAUAUAAAUCAGCAUCAAAAAAUUUUAUUCGGUAUUGGAAAAAUAUCGGCAUCUUAAUACAUCUCAAAACUUUCACUAUAUAAUAGAAUUAUAAAAUAUUUAUUUUUUUUCAAAAUAAAAAGAUUGAAGAAUAAAUUAUUCUUGAAAUACAAUAAGAUUAAAUUGAAAAGUUGAGAGAAAUCCUCGCAAAACUAAUACCCUUUAUUUUAUGACAAAAUGAUCAACUUUAACACUUUAAUUUUAAAUUCAACUGUAUAGAAAUGAAGAGUUAUAUUUCUAGAACUUUGAUUUUAGCUCGAUAAAAUGGUGAAUGAGCUUCAAAUAUGAGGAGAUUGAAGACAGGCUGCUCAUGCUGUCUCUUUUUGGUUUUUCUCCUGGUGCGCUCUUCUCUUUUUCUCUUACAAAACCCAUUGCAGCUUUUUUAUAUUUAAAUGAGAGGUAUACAAACACCAUGUCUCUUUUAGUUUUUAGUUUUAUUUGGUGUGAGACCCUAACAAAUCUCCCCCUCAUGUAUCAUGUGUGGAGUUUUUUUUACCGGCGAUCAGCUUGUAAGUUUUAAUUUGAUAGGUUCUACCAAGCCCGUUUGUCUUUCACAGAUAUCAAACUUCUCUCACGGGAGAAGGUUGAUUAUCAUUUUUGAUACAUUGCUAUUGAUAUGGAUAUUUUCAACAAUUAAAGACUUCAUCUUCAUACUAUCUCGAAUUCAUUGGUAUUUAAUCUCAAUAUGCUUUGAUCGAGAAUGAAUAAGAUGAUGCUCACUAAAAUGGAUUGUACUUCAAAUGUCACAGUGCAACAAAAAGUUUUUUUGCAUUAGACUAAGUUCAUAUAAGAAUUUUUUUAUUCAUAACAAUUAUUUGUCUUUUUAUCAAGAGCAAUGUAUCCAACCUCUGUAUUAGAUAAUUCAAUAUAUUUUUGCAAUAUUAAUUGCUAUGAAACUGUCUCCCCUGCAAAAAUCAUUAAAUAUCCCGAUAUGAACUUUCUAAAAUCAACAUCACCAUCCAUACAUGCAUUUGUAUAUCUAUCUAGAAUAGAUUUAUCAUUUUCAAAACAUAUACUAAAACUAGAAGUGCAUUUGAAAUAUCUAAAUAUCCAUCUUAUUUUUUUUUAACAUAUCUCUCAUGGAGAAAUUUGGUGUCAGGCAGAAAAGUCAGAAUAGCCAUGGUGGAACUAAAAAACCAAAGUAGCCCACCCAACACAACCUAACUUUGAGAGAUUAAGGGUAAAAACAGUGUUAUUACUAUUAAUAUCCACAUUUAAAUUAGUUUGUAUCCACAUUAUCAUUCACAGUAAAAUUGUCAUAACUCUUUUUUUUUUAAAAAAAAAUUGAAAAAUGUUUUGUUGAAUAUGCCCACACUUAAUAUCAUGUCAUGUUAUCGCUAGAAUUAAAGUUCAUUUUUACAAUUUAAAAUAUAUCAUAUUUUAAUUAAAAAACUGACUUUACAAAAUGCAGCACUGGAUUUAAUGAAAAAUGAAGAAGUUGAAGCAAUCAUAGGGCCUCAAAGAUCAUCAGAAGCCAAGUUUGUGAUAGAGCUUGGAAACAAGACACAAGUGCCAAUUCUCUCUUUUUCAGCUACUAGUCCUGCUCUCACUCCAGUUCAAAGCAAUUACUUUAUCCGGACAGCUCAGAGUGAUUCCUCUCAAGUGAAAGCCAUUGCCAGCAUUGUCGAAACUUAUGGUUGGAGGGAAAUUGUUCUAAUCUAUGAAGGCACAGAAUAUGGCAUUGCUUUGGUUCCAUAUUUGCUACAUGCCUUCCACGAGAUUGGUACUCGAGUUCCCUAUGAAAGUUGCAUUCCAUCGUCUUUCGAUGACACUGAAAUCAUGAGCGAGCUCCAGAAAAUAAAGAAAAUGCAGGAAAGCGUGUUUCUGGUGCACAUGACAGCCUCCAUGGGAUCCAGGCUAUUCUUACUCGCCGAAAGCGCAGGAAUGAUGAGUGAAGGGUAUGCAUGGCUCGUGACAACAGGAUUGUCCACCUUAUUAGAUCCUGUGGACGCAAAAGUAAUGGAUUCUAUGCAAGGUGUAUUAGGUGUAAAGCCAUAUGUACCAAAAUCAAUAGAACUUGAAGGUUUCAAAUCAAGAUGGAAAAAGAAUUUCAACUCUGAAAACCUCUUUGGUUUAUGGGCAUAUGAUACAGUUUGGGCGAUAGCAAUGGCAGUGGAGAGGGCUGGCAUUGUGCAUUCUAGUUUCUUAAAACAAAACGCAAGCAACAGGUCAGUUGAUCUUGCGGCUUUGGGAAUCUCAGAAAUGGGGCCAAGACUCCUGAAGUCCAUAUUAAACACUACCUUUGAUGGCUUGAGCGGAAAGUUCCAGUUGGUUAAGGGUGAGAUGGCACCUUUCGCCUUUGAAAUAUUCAAUGUGGUGGGGAGAUCAGAGAGGGUUAUUGGAUAUUGGACAGAAAAAGGAGGACUUUCUCAGAGCUUGGAUAGCAGUAGUAAAAUAUCACACUCAAAUUCCAAAACCAAACUGAAGCAACCAAUUUGGCCAGGAGGCACAAUACAACAGCCGAAGAAAUUGAGGAUUGGGGUUCCAGUGAGAAGCGAUUUUAGCGAAUUUAUAAAAGUCGAAUGGGAUCAGCAGAGCAAUGAGCCUAUUGUUUCAGGCUUCUCUGCAGAGGUUUUCCUUGCAGUGCAUGAUAUAUUACCAUUUCCCCUUCCGUAUGAAUUCAUACCCUUUAUGAACGAAAGUAGUAGGAAGAGUGCCGGGACUUACGAUGAUCUUCUUCGGCAAAUCGAACAUCAGGUCCGUGUUAUGCUACUUAAAAUCCAUUUUUCUAUUCUAAUUUGCUGUAGUAAAAAGCUUGAAAUUAAGUUCAUAAAAAGAGUGACCUUGUCUUGUUUGUCUUUCAGAAAUUUGAUGCAGUGGUUGGAGAUACAACGAUAGUGGCUUAUCGCUCAUCAUAUGUAGAUUUCACCUUGCCUUACUCGGAAUCAGGCAUAACAAUGGUGGUUUUGAUGAAACGCGAUGAGAGGGAUAACAUGUGGAUUUUCUUGAAGCCACUAAGCCCGAAACUUUGGUUAGUAACUGGAGUAGCCUUCUUUGUCACAGGUUUAGUGGUAUGGGUGCUCGAACACCGUACAAACACAGAGUUUAGGGGAACACCAGAGCAACAACUGGGCACAGUUAUUUGGUUCUCCUUCUCAACACUGGUCUUUGCACAUAGUAAUUAACUUCUCUAACUUUCGUGUUUUUAUCUUCUUUAUUUUCUUUUCAUAAUUGAUUACAAGCGCAACUAAAGUAUGAGCAUGAAUCAUUAAUUUUUCCUUUUUUGCCGUAAUAGGGGAGAGGCCAGAGAACAACCUAACAAAAUUUGUCUUGAUCAUAUGGAUGUUUGUGGUACUUAUUAUAUCUCAGAGUUACACUGCUAGCUUAGCCUCAAUGCUAACAGUACAGCGGAUGCAUCCCGCAUUUGUUGAUGUCACAGAGAUCCAGAGGAAUAAUUACUUUGUUGGACACCAUAAAGAUUCUUUUGUGAAAGAUUUCCUUAAAAAAGAAUUACAUUUCAAUGACACGAUGUUGAGGGAAUAUAGCACUCCAGAGGAGUUUCACGAUGCGUUGUCUAGAGGGUCUCAUAAUGGUGGUGUGGCUGCUAUCUUCGAAGAAAUUCCCUACGUUAGACGCUUCCUUAACGACAAGUACCGCUGCUCUAAAUUUCAAAUGGUAGGACCAACCUAUCAAACCGAUGGAUUUGGCUUUGUGAGUGACUCUCUCUCUCUCUUUCUAAAGUUGUUAGGUUUUAAGUAGAACUCCAUGAUUAUCAGGCUACUUAUAAUUAAGGCAAAAGUGAUCAUUAGCCAUUGUUAAGCAUGUAUAUAACUAUUACAGAACUUAAGCAGUGAGUAAACUUUCUAAUCAGCUCGAUCUAUUUUCUUCUUCUUUUUUUCAUUAUAGGCCUUCCCACUUAACUCCCCACUAGUCUCUCAUAUCUCAAGAGCAAUCUUGAAUGUCACUGAAGAUCAUGAUAAAAUGGAAGCAAUUACGAGUAAAAGCUUUGGUAGGGAAAUCACCUGUGAAGAUCGAGGAGCUGAAACCUCUUCAGGUGGUCUAAGGUUGUCUAGCUUCGCGGGCCUCUUCCUUAUCUCUGGAGUUGCUUCCAUAUCUUCGCUC
rnacentral:lncRNA from 1 species